rnacentral:rRNA from 1 species
GACGAACGCUGGCGGCGUGCUUAACACAUGCAAGUCGAACGGAAAGGCCCUGCUUUUGUGGGGUGCUCGAGUGGCGAACGGGUGAGUAACACGUGAGUAACCUGCCCUUGACUUUGGGAUAACUUCAGGAAACUGGGGCUAAUACCGGAUAGGAGCUCCUGCUGCAUGGUGGUGGUUGGAAAGUUUCGGCGGUUGGGGAUGGACUCGCGGCUUAUCAGCUUGUUGGUGGGGUAGUGGCUUACCAAGGCUUUGACGGGUAGCCGGCCUGAGAGGGUGACCGGCCACAUUGGGACUGAGAUACGGCCCAGACUCCUACGGGAGGCAGCAGUGGGGAAUAUUGCACAAUGGGCGCAAGCCUGAUGCAGCAACGCCGCGUGCGGGAUGACGGCCUUCGGGUUGUAAACCGCUUUCGCCUGUGACGAAGCGUGAGUGACGGUAAUGGGUAAAGAAGCACCGGCUAACUACGUG